AGUGAACGCUGGCGGUAGGCCUAACACAUGCAAGUCGAACGGCAGCACAGUAAGAGCUUGCUCUUACGGGUGGCGAGUGGCGGACGGGUGAGGAAUACAUCGGAAUCUACUUUUUCGUGGGGGAUAACGUAGGGAAACUUACGCUAAUACCGCAUACGACCUACGGGUGAAAGCAGGGGAUCUUCGGACCUUGCGCGAUUGAAUGAGCCGAUGUCGGAUUAGCUAGUUGGCGGGGUAAAGGCCCACCAAGGCGACGAUCCGUAGCUGGUCUGAGAGGAUGCUCCGCCAAAUGGGAAUUGAGAAACGGUCCAGGCCCCGCGGGGGGGCAGGAGUGGGGAAUUUUGGACAAGGGGCGAAAGCCUGAUCCAGCCAAACCGGGGGGGUGAAGAAGGCCUGCGGGUUGUAAAGCCCUUUUGUUGGGAAAGAAAAGCAGCAGGUUAAUCCCCCGCUGUUCUGACGGUACCAAAAGAAAAAGCCCCGGCUAACUUCGU
rnacentral:rRNA from 1 species